rnacentral:tRNA from 1 species
CGGGUUGUUUWGUUUAGGACCCUAACUUUGGGAAUUARCGGGGGGAAUUAAAAUUUUCUUUUUUUGAU